rnacentral:antisense_RNA from 1 species
AAAAAAUAUUGCUAAAUUAGCUCUUUGAGAGAGAAAGAAUAAUAGCAGAUUGGGACUCAAGGUGUUGCUUUAGAGUGGGAAGAAUCUGGUCAUUCGAAUCAACAUCUAAAACAAUUUUAAGAGACUCAAUGAUAUUAUGAACAUUUGAAGAGUUCUCUUGGAAAGACUGGAUCUGAGGUUGAGUAUUUGGAGCUUUCUUUGAGUGAUUUAUGUUAAUUAGAUCAGUGAGAAUCUUUAGGCAUUCAUUGGGAGAGGUGGUUUUGUAAUCAAGACUUAAAGUUGAGCAAAUAGUUUUGAAAAACUUCUUAAAAUCUCUCAGUUGUAUAUAUAUUGCAUUAGAUGCUUGGAUAACGUCUUGAUCAUCAAGUACAUCAAAUAGAGUUUUAAAGUGGUUGUAGAAACGAUCAUGUAGUUCAAUUGAUAUGACUUCUUGGCUAUUAUUUUGGGAGGAAAUUUUCUUGGAUGAAGCACUUUCGAAAAUAUGAGUGAUUUUCGGGGUUGCUGAAGUACUCUUUUUGGCUAAUAGUUGUCCAAUUUGAAUCGGAAUGUUUCUAAAGUUUGAUAUAUUAAGUAGCCUACAAGACCACCUAACUAUGCUUUCUAAUUCAGAUCUAUCAGUAUUCUGUAACAUAUAAAGACCUCUGGUCCAAAGAUUCUUGUCUCUUUUCAUUAACUCACUUGUGGAAAUAUUAUUUUCUUGACAAAAUUCAAAGAAGGAUUUCUCAGAAAUAGUAUCAUUUGAAUUUCCUAAAUUAGUUUCAUUACCCUCAAAUGAGUCUUGCCCGUUUUUAGAAUCUAAGUUAUUUUGUCCGUUGGCUUGCAAUUUCCAAUAGCUGAUCGAUUUUUCAAAUCCUACAAUUAUUGAGUAAAGGUAGUGUGAUUGAAGAAUUUUCUUUUUUUCUAAAGUUGUUAAGGUUGUUCCACUAAUAUUACUGCUCGUACCCGUAUGGUUGAAGGUGCUGGCUCUGUUAGAAUCUCUUUCAUUGUCCAGAUUGUUCUUAACAGACCUCAAAAAUUGAUCAGCUUUAUCUCUUGACUUAUCAUCAUCCUCUUGAAGCUUUAGAAUAUCUUGUUUUAGUCGGCUAUUUUCAACAAGAAGUUGCUGUUUCUCUCUUUCUAACUUGCUAAUUGCAGAGCCUUGCGGGGUUUCCCUACCUUGAACCCUAUUUUUUCUAUUAGAUUGUUCUUCUUCGGUUAAAACUCUAUUUAUCAUUCUAAGAGAUUCAUUCUCUUUCUCUAAGGCUUCAUAUUUCCUUCUCAAGAGGUUUAACUUUUCUAUAAGUCCGUUUUUUUGUGACCUUUCAGAGUUUAUAGUUUCAACAGUGUGUUCACCUCGAGAUUCUAAUUCAUA